GACGAACCGUGCGACCGUUGUUCGGAAUCACUGGGCUUAAAGGGCGCGUAGGCGGGUUCGCAAGUCUGUGGUGAAAGCCUCCAGCUUAACUGGAGAAGUGCCGUGGAUACUGCGAAUCUUGAGGAGGGUAGGGGCGAGCGGAACUAAUGGUGGAGCGGUGAAAUGCGUUGAUAUCAUUAGGAACUCCGGUGGCGAAGGCGGCUCGCUGGAUCUUUUCUGACGCUGAGGCGCGAAAGCUAGGGGAGCAAACGGG
rnacentral:rRNA from 1 species